rnacentral:rRNA from 1 species
UACGAGUUUGAUCCUGGCUCAGAACGAACGCUGGCGGCAGGCUUAACACAUGCAAGUCGAACGAGAUCUUCGGAUCUAGUGGCGCACGGGUGAGUAACGCGUGGGAAUCUACCUUGGAGUCUGGGAUAACAGUUGGAAACGACUGCUAAUACCGGAUACGCCCUUAGGGGGAAAGGUUUACUGCUCCGAGAUGAGCCCGCGUCCAAUUAGGUAGUUGGUGAGGUAAAGGCUCACCAAGCCGACGAUUGGUAGCUGGUCUGAGAGGAUGACCAGCCACACUGGGACUGAGACACGGCCCAGACUCCUACGGGAGGCAGCAGUGGGGAAUAUUGGACAAUGGGGGCAACCCUGAUCCAGCCAUGCCGCGUGAGUGAUGAAGGCCUUAGGGUUGUAAAGCUCUUUCGCCGGUGACGAUGAUGACGGUAACCGGAGAAGAAGCCCCGGCUAACUUCGUG